rnacentral:rRNA from 1 species
UACGGAGGGAGCAAGCGUUGUUCGGAAUUACUGGGCGUAAAGCGCGCGUAGGCGGUUUUGUAAGUUAGAGGUGAAAGCCCGGGGCUCAACCUCGGAACUGCCUUUAAAACUGCAUCGCUUGAAUCCGGGAGAGGUGAGUGGAAUUCCGAGUGUAGAGGUGAAAUUCGUAGAUAUUCGGAAGAACACCAGUGGCGAAGGCGGCUUACUGGUCCGGUUCUGACGCUGAGGCACGAAAGCGUGGGGAGCAAACAGG